rnacentral:rRNA from 1 species
CCUACGGGAGGCAGCAGUGAGGAAUAUUGGUCAAUGGGCGCGAGCCUGAACCAGCCAAGUCGCGUGAAGGAUGACUGCCCUACGGGUUGUAAACUUCUUUUAUAAAGGAAUAAAGUGAGGCACGUGUGCCUCUUUGUAUGUACCUUAUGAAUAAGGAUCGGCUAACUCCGUGCCAGCAGCCGCGGUAAUACGGAGGAUCCGAGCGUUAUCCGGAUUUAUUGGGUUUAAAGGGAGCGUAGAUGGGUUGUUAAGUCAGUUGUGAAAGUUUGCGGCUCAACCGUAAAAUUGCAAUUGAUACUGGCAGCCUUGAGUACAGUAGAGGUAGGCGGAAUGCGUGGUGUAGCGGUGAAAUGCUUAGAGAUCACGAAGAACUCCGAUUGCGAAGGCAGCUUACUAAACUGCCACUGACAUUGAGGCUCGAAAGUGUGGGUAUCGAACAGGAUUAGAUACCCGAGUAGUC